AUGCCGAUGCCGACGCAGACGUCCAUGGAUGCCGCCAGGACGGUCGUGGUGACCGCCUACCAGGAGCUGCCGCGCCGCCGUUCCGGCAGCCACGGCGCGUCCUCGUCCAGGACGCGCUCGGCCUCGGGGGGCUACAACAACCGCCGGGCGAUGCUGCUCGCGUACGCGCAGCACCUGCGGCGGCGCGGCGGGCAGAGGUCGUCGUGUUCGGGGCCGCCGCGCGUGCUGGAGUGGGGCGAGUGGAAGCGGGCGGACGAUCCCGGCGCCGGCGCCGGCAACGACGACAAGGUGGUGGCGGGGCGGAGGAGGGGUUGCUGCGCCAGGCUCCGGCUGUGGGCACGGAUUUGGAUCAGGACGUUUUUCCGGCGCGUCAGGAGGAUCAGGGAGAACGCCUCGUGCAGGAAAGCGGACUGA
rnacentral:rRNA from 1 species